ACGCUAUAAAGGGCAGACGAUCUGCUAUAAAAAAUAUUGUUCCUCAUACUUUUGGAGACGAUCAUGGACUUCAUGUUUGUUGCUAAUCAUGGUGUAGUUAUAAAAAAGACCCUUUGACAUACAAGCAUAAAGAUCUGCCAUACAAUAAAGUCUUGCUGGGAAAUUAAUUAAAGAAAGUACUCAGGGCCGUGCUGAGCGAUAUCUGGUUGGGGGGGGGGGGGUGUGAACUCAAACAUUUGGGGCCCCAGGAAAUAAUGGCGACUGAAUAAUCAACACGUUCCGCAACUCCAGCAUUCGGAGGCCCCCUCUGGAGAAGUUGGGCCCCCUUCUUGACUUUUCUUUGGGGGGUGUAAAACCUCCACCACCAGUAGUUCCGGCCCUGAAAGUACUCGAUCACCACUACUUUUUUGACAAAUAUGCCACAGAGACAGUAACUGAAAAAGUUCUACUAUUUGCCAACUCACAAAGAAACGAAUCCCUAAGCAGCAUAAUUGGAGGAAGCGAGAACAAUGACUUUCGAGUUGCAUGGGCAGUGGCACAAAAUAACAUUGUCUUUAGCUACAACAAUAACGCAUACAGGUGCCACUUGUUUCUCUCGCCGUUCUAUAAUGGAUAAAAAAACAACAAAAGAAUUAAGAAUCUUCAAAAGAAUAUAAAAUCGAAAUCAGCUUCAAUCAGAAAGGAUUUCAAAAAAUGCAAAAAAAGAAGAAAAAGAAAGUAAAACGUACGGAACUGGUAUUGGACUGAAUCUGGAAAAGGAAAGUUCAGUCACACGUAACUCUGCUGAUAUUGAUAUUAUAUUGAUAACAUUAUCAUGGGCAUUACAACAAAUCAUUAUCAAGAAUUCACAAAAUCAGUUCCACCCGUUAUAGAAAGACCAAAGAAGCAAUACAUUAGUUGUAAUCCAGAAAAAAUACCUUUUUGUUUUAUUUGACACUGAAACUAGUUAACUUGUACGGGUAAACAUGUACAACCUGAAAUCUGUCAGCUUUCAGCUAUGGUUAAAAGUGAGGAAAACUUCUCUUCCAUCAUGCCUACAGGUUCUUUUUGCCAAUAAUCUUACUGCAGAAAAAUCAUAAAUGGGACAAGAACUUUGUGCAAAAGUUUAAUUCAACCCAGUAAGUUCAGUCCUCCUUGAAAUCCCAUACCAAUGAUUUGCAAAAUCCCUUCAUAAUCAAGAAAAAUUACAUACCUGUGGUGCAAAUCCAGUUGAAGCGGACAACCUUGUAACUGUCCUCGUUGGUCACAAUGCCGUUACAUUCGAUGUGCCUACACUUCUCCGCGAUGCUGGUAAUAUAUUCGAAAAACUACUUCAUAACAUGAAAAUUUGCUUCGGGACAGUUUACCCACCAACAUUCCCCAUUGAAGCAAUCGAACGGCGAGUCCUGUCAAGCCAAUUUAGGCAAUAUCUAGAAGUGUUUAUUCGACGAAUAUUUCAACACACGCGAUGCAUUAGAAAAUGUGUGAUUUCCCCAAGGAAAAUCUGAUUCAGUUCUGCAAUGGCCACUGAUGUAAAGAUAAUAGUAAAUUGCUGCCAGAUAUCUUCAGUCCCUGAUGUAAAAACUUACUUGAUAUUUAUCGAUAAUCUGCAUGAUCGCUACCAAACUUUCGUAGGAAAUAUUCACUUCCCAAAACGAAGACCAUAGCCCAAUUUUAACGUUGUGGAAAAGAUUUGGUGAAACCGGACUUGUUGGAGUACUACUCCAUGCCGCCAUAUGAACCACACGAUCGUUCGCAAAG